rnacentral:rRNA from 1 species
GCCAGUGGUGAACUCCACAUACGCAUCCUUUGCUGAGGAUACGGUUAACGGAGCGAAAGCGACGUUCAACCGCAAAAGAAGCAGAGGGGGCUUAGUGGUGGGGUGACUGCGUACCUUUUGUAUAAUGGGUCAGCGACUUAUAUUCUGUAGCAAGGUUAACCGAAUAGGGGAGCCGGAGGGAAACCGAGUCUUAACCGGGCGUUAAGUUGCAGGGUAUAGACCCGAAACCCGGUGAUCUAGCCAUGGGCAGGUUGAAGGUUGGGUAACACUAACUGGAGGACCGAACCGACUAAUGUUGAAAAAUUAGCGGAUGACCUGUGGCUGGGGGUGAAAGGCCAAUCAAACCGGGAGAUAGCUGGUUCUCCCCGAAAGCUAUUUAGGUAGCGCCUCGUGAAUUCAUCUCCGGGGGUAGAGCACUGUUUCGGCUAGGGGGCCAUCCCGGCUUACCAACCCGAUGCAAACUGCGAAUACCGGAGAAUGUUAUCACGGGAGACACACGGCGGGUGCUAACGUCCGUCGUGAAGAGGGAAACAACCCAGACCGCCAGCUAAGGUCCCAAAGUCAUGGUUAAGUGGGAAACGAUGUGGGAAGGCCCAGACAGCCAGGAUGUUGGCUUAGAAGCAGCCAUCAUUUAAAGAAAGCGUAAUAGCUCACUGGUCGAGUCGGCCUGCGCGGAAGAUGUAACGGGGCUAAACCAUGCACCGAAGCUGCGGCAGCGACGCUUAUGCGUUGUUGGGUAGGGGAGCGUUCUGUAAGCCUGUGAAGGUGGCCUGUGAGGGUUGCUGGAGGUAUCAGAAGUGCGAAUGCUGACAUAAGUAACGAUAAAGCGGGUGAAAAGCCCGCUCGCCGGAAGACCAAGGGUUCCUGUCCAACGUUAAUCGGGGCAGGGUGAGUCGACCCCUAAGGCGAGGCCGAAAGGCGUAGUCGAUGGGAAACGGGUUAAUAUUCCCGUACUUGGUGUUACUGCGAAGGGGGGACGGAGAAGGCU